CCUUGCACAGGCUGAUUUACCCCAGGCCCCGCACCCUGCUUGGGUCAGCUCUGCCAAUCCCAAUACAUUUUUUUGUCAAGAUUUUCCUCCUGGAUAAGUAAUAAGCAUUCCUCACUUAUUCUGUUCUUUAAAUGGAGGGGCAAUUUAAAAAUCAUUAAGGGAAUGUAUUCGGAUUCUCCUUCCUGUUACAGAAGUGUAAAUCUGGAGAUCCCAUUAAUAGUUAUUAUCAAUUUACACUAAUAUAAUAUGAGCGGUUUUCAACCAACUCUCUUUUUUCUAGAUGUCUGGUCAUGAAAUGGUGAGAUGACAAUUUUAUUUUUACAUUUAAACAUAUGGGUUUAAAUGCAAUGUUUGUAUUCUUACCUGGUGUAUGUGGGAUUGAAGUGUAUUGCUGUAGCCCAGGGAUACAUGUUGUAGCUGUGUUGUCUGCAGGCCAAAGUUCUGAUUACUUUUGCCCAUGCAUUUCAAACCUACUAUACUCUUCAUCCCAUGACCUUCAGUACAGAGUCAAAGGUAUAAUCUUUCUUGAAUAAACCUACUUUUAUUAAACAACUUAUGGCCCUUCCCUUUCUUCCCUCCCCCUCGAUUUUUGUGUUCUUUUAUAGCAAGUCAGCCAUAAUAAGUCAACAAUGCCAAAACAAAGUCAUAUACCAUGUAUUUAAUAAUGAGCACCUCUGUUAUUUAGCAAGUGAGAUCAUCUUCUACAUUAACAUGCACAUCAAAUAACGUUUGAUAAACUAAUGGCAUACAUAGUUAAGACUAUACUCUUGAAGUAUGUUGUUCUGAUGCCAAGAUCCUGCAAUCUCUGUGUAUGAGAGCCAGUUUUUGCCCACAAACACCUUUUUUGCUGUCUUCUACAUGUGCUAGAGAACAAUUCCAAGAAUGUGAACUGAUACUUUAUUACAGCUAUGUCAUCCAUUCUUUCGGCAGGCAGAAAAGCACAGACAUUACACAGAGGUCUCUUUCUUUAGUUUUUUCAAACCAUUCUAAUUGUGUAGCCUUACUUUUGCUUUAUAGUCGGUAGUUUUUUUAAUUUGCAUUUUCCUGGAGAAUUUUAGUCUACCCGUGGAGCUAAAAAAAAAGAACUAUGCAGUCAUAUUUGUAACAUGGUAUUUGUUACAAAAAACUUAUAAGCACAAACACAUUGGAUUGGUGAUACCAUGGUGUUCAUAUAAUGGGUAUUUGGUGGGAUUUUGCUUGCACUAGCCUCAUACAGUUUUUCAGGUGCAGCGGGUGUACCUAGAUUU